CAUUUGAAAAUGGAUGCGUUUGCGGAAGGUUUAUGACUGAUGCAGGAUGCAAGAAAUUAAUUCUGAAAUUGAUGAUGCUCUGAUUACUUUUCCGGUGGAAGUUGUACAAGAGACAGUGAGUGAUCGAGUGUCUCUCGUGACGUUUAUACUGGAUCCACAAAGUCAAAACAUUUGGGCCAUGACUAUUCAAUUGCCUCGCUUAAGGGUUUUUGUUGAUGGUUAUGUUGGUCGAAUUAUGGGAUCAAAUAAAGUUCAGAUUGGUUCUGCAAUGGUGACCAUGAAUUUGCUGUUGUAUCGUGGCCCAUGGUUUUUUGCAGAAUGGAUGGUCACGGUCCAUCAUUGGUCCAUCACGGUUCAAAACCUUUCCAAGGAAUUUUGGAGGAAAACAUCAUCAAAAUUCAAGAUCAGGUCGGGUCUUUGCAAGUAUCGGCGAAGAGAGGAUAUUUUAUCGAGUGUCAUAAUACAUGGUACAAAAUCAAUUCCAGCAACAUUAAGAAAUUUUCUACUAGUCAAAGUCAUGCGAUAUGUAUUUUGGAGUUUCAUCUAUAAGGUGAUAGCCAACUACAAGGGUAUGAAAGGGGGACGUAACAGAUUUGAUCUGUUAGCCUGUAAGACUUUCAAUCGAAAAGCUUGGUCAUUUCCACUUUUUCAUCGAAAUUGUUUACAAUUUCCUCUAUUUGCGUUAAC